UACGGAGGGCGCAAGCGUUGUUCGGAAUCACUGGGCGUAAAGGGCGUGUAGGCGGUCAGGCAAGUCGGAUGUGAAAGCCCUGGGCUCAACCCGGGAAUUGAACCCGAAACUGCUUGGCUAGAGUCCCGGAGCGGAAGGCGGAAUUCCCAGUGUAGGGGUGAAAUCCGUAGAUAUUGGGAAGAAUACCAGAGGCGAAGGCGGCCUUCUGGACGGUGACUGACGCGGAGACGCGAAAGCGUGGGUAGCAAGCAGG
rnacentral:rRNA from 1 species